UUUGGAGAGAAGAAUGGUGGUCCCUGAAAGGGGAAGUUAACUUUGACCUUAAUUCAGAGAGGGUAUGGGGUGAUUUGGAGAGAAGAAUAGAUUUUUUGCCACAUCAUAGGGGAAGUGCACUUUGACCUUGAGUCAGAGAGGGUAUAGGGUAAGGAGAGAAAGGAUAUUUUGCCAGAUCACAGAUUGAGAGGGAUGAGCAUAGACCAUGCAUCCACUCAGGACUUAGGAGGUUGGAUUUGACAGAGAAGCUAACUCUGAGUAGAACUUCAUACUUAAUAGUAUUUCUGCAGCAUCUAUGAGGUCUUACUUCAUCACUUGGUUGGAGAUGGCAGUUAGUUGGAGAUGGUGCACUAUCUACAUGUAGUUGGUCUAAUUCUAGUCUCGUUGUCUCGUUAGGAGUCUCUCCUCGAGAGCUCAAGAGGGGUGAGUCAUUGUAAUAGUAAAGAGAACUAUACAAAAAGACAAUUUAUAUUUCUGUAUUCAUGAUUACUUAUGCAUAUUUGGGCAUUUUAUUGUUAUAUCUUGCUUAUUGCUCUUGGAUGUUACAAUGUUAACUAUAAACCAUAUAUGGAAAAGUAUCCAAAAUGUUUAGUAUUUCUAUGGUGUGGGGAAAAUGCCAAGUAGGGCAAUAGUUAUUAUUGAUGUAUCUAUUCCUAUGAAUGAUCAUAAUAGUUAUUAUUGAUGUAUCUAUUUCUAUGAAUGAUCAUAUAGUUUUGCUGAUGUUCAAUAUGUGAAAGAAACAAAAACUAAUCUGUUUGCCUGUUUCUUUUUGUCUCAUUAAGGGUUGAUCCAUCCUCAAAAUAAAUACCACCUACAACUCUAAA